AACCGGGGCAYGUGCACGCUCUGUUUACACAUCCACUCACACCUGUGCACCCUCUGUAGUCCUAUGGUUCGGAAGACCCCGUCUUCCUUCUGUAGCUCUACGUCUUUACACACACACUGUAGCGAUGUCUCAUGGAAUGUUUUUAUGCGUUUAACGCGAUACAAUACAACUUUCAGCAACGGAUCUCUUGGCUCUCGCAUCGAUGAAGAACGCAGCGAAAUGCGAUAAGUAAUGUGAAUUGCAGAAUUCAGUGAAUCAUCGAAUCUUUGAACGCACCUUGCGCCCCUUGGUUAUUCCUUGGAGCAUGCCUGUUUGAGUAUCAUGAACACCUCAACUCUCAUGGUCUUCCAUGAUGAGCUUGGACUUUGGGGGUUUGCUGGCCCUGCGGCCGGCUCCUCUCAAAYGRAUCAGCUUGCCAGUGUUUGGUGGCAUCACGGGUGUGAUAACUAUCUACKCUCGCGGUCGUCUGCCAGGUAACCCUCAGCGAUGAGGGUUCAUUGGAGCUCAUAAACGUCUCUCCUCGGCGAGGACAACUUUUGAAC
rnacentral:rRNA from 1 species